UCCAGAUUCAUCAGGGAGGCUGCUUUUCUUCUCUGCACUGUAAUCACACUGAGCUGCAAUUAAAAUAAACAAUCGCAAAGAAAGUGAAUUAACAAAUCUCAAAGCAAAAUGACUCGGAAGAAUAAGACUUUCAAUUUGUGAAGGUCACUGCUUCAGAAUCACCUGGACUGUGAAAACACAGACUGCUGGGCCUUACAACCAGAGCUUUAGUAGGGGUGGGAUGAACUGUUUCUGUAUGUUCCCCAAGACAUCUGCAUACUCCAGAGUCUAUUAGGGUCAAAAGAGCUAUUAGGCACUGUUAGGGGUUGAAUUGUGUCCUAACCCCCAGUAUCUGGGAAUGUGACCUUAUUUGGAAAGAGAGUCCUUGCUGAUGAUCAAGUUGAGAUGAGAUCAUUAGGGUGGACCAUAAUCCAUAUGACUGGUGUCUUCAUAAAAGGGGAAAUUUGGACACAGAGACACACAUGUACAAAGGAAAGACAAGUUGAAGACACAGAGAGAACACAAUCUACAAGCCAAAGAAUGUCUGAGGCUACCAGAAGCUGGGAGAAAGGCAUGGAACAGAUUCUCCCUCACAGCUCUCAGAAGGAACUAACAAUGUCAAUACCUCAAUUUUGGACUUCUAGCCUCUGGAACUAAGAGACAAUUAUUUUGCGUUGUUUAAGCCACCCAGUUUCUAAUACUUUGUUAUGGCAAGAACUAUACAGGCAUCAUGAAUACAAAGCUGUCACAACAUACUGUCAGACAGACAAGUGCAAAUAAUCUAUCAAUUAAAAAAUGGAAAUUAAAAAAUGGAUUAGCUCUCUCCACACUUACUAGCCUGGUUAUAGUACAUCUGAAAAAAAUAUUUUUGUACAACUAGAAUUGUUAAACAGUUUUUCUGGCACUUAUCUGAAUGAGAUAAUAAUACAAGCCUAAUCAGGAAGAGUUAGAAAAACACAUUUUCUAUGAAGAACCAGAAACUUAUAGUUCCCAUGUCCUAACAUACAAGUGAUAAGAAUGAAUGUUAUGGCUAUUACAGUAAUAUAAAAUAUUGAAAUAACAGUAUCCUGCUAAAAUGAGCUUAUUAUAUUUCUUAUUAUGCCCAAAAGCAAAAUUAAAUGUUAUGAAGAGAACUAUAUUGGCUGGUCCAAUUUACCAAGAUGUUUAAAUAUGUAGCCUCUAAAUUUUAAGAAGCACAUCAUAUGCUAGAGAAAACGGGGGAAAAAAUUCCAUCAUCUGUAAUAAUCAUUUUCAUAUUUAUACGCAGACUUCAUAUAAUGCAACUUCUUCUAUACUGCUACCAUAAUGGUUGAGGAACAGUUCAGAUUGGAUAAAUCCUAGUAUAUGCAACUGUUCCUUUUCUAUUCAUCAUUUUGGUUGCUUUUGAUCUUCCUAUAUUAUUAACAUUACUGUACUGAGUACCUUCUUUCAAAUUUUUUUUGUAUUUUAAAUUACUCAUUAGAAUAGAUAUCUGGAAAUGGGAGCUACCUGAAAGAUUAUUUCAAUGGCUAUUCCUCAAUUAACUUCUAAAUGGCUCAUAUCAAUUCAUAAUGCCAUGAUGCUUAGGAGUAACGAUUUCACUAUAGCUACUACAGUAGACCACAAAGAUGGAGUAGACCAUAUAUUCAGAGAAAUUCCAACAAACAUUUGAAGUUAGAACAUCAAAUGAAGAGAUCUAAAAAGCCUCAAUCAUAAUCCAAAAAUUGUUUACUUUUUGAAUGCCUCAAGGAAAAAAACUUGAACUCUUGCUAUAUUUAGUUCUAAGGCAUAAAUCUAAAUAUAUUUUAAUAUAUUCCAGUAGGCAAAAGUAUUUUUUAUGUGAUGUGUCUUUUGGGAUGGAUUAAAAUGAAAAAAGAUGAAUGGGUUAAAAAAUAAUUUUAGAGAUGCAUAAGAAUAAAGGGGAUCCUAAUACGUUCUCUGAAAUACUACACAAGUUCUAUUGGUAAAACAGAAAUAAGAGCUCUACCUUUUAUUAUUUACAUAUGAUGAAUCACUGAUGUUCAAAGCUUUUAUUCACAUUAUAUUGCGUGUGGGCUUUUAGGGUUAUGGAUGAUUUCUGUAUUGUUAUUUCCAAGUAGAGAAAUAAUUUGGAUUUGGCUCAGGUAAAAUUCUAUAACAUGUGUAUCAUGCUGCAGCAGAAAGCACUUCCCAGGGGAGUCAUUAUCUCACCUCAGCUACCUUUUCAUUUGCCAUUUCCAGCUGAGAAAGCAGCUCUUGGGUAUGAAGUUUCUGUCGACUCAGCUCACUCCUAUUAAGAGCACCAAAAAAUCCAUUAAUAUAAUUGUUCCAAAUAGAAAACAGAAUCUUUAUUAGCAAGAUACAUGUUCAUGAUUUGAACAAAAAUAUCAUCUUGAGGUGGAAAAUAAAGUCACUUACUAAUAGACCAUAUCUCAAGGACUUGUUUAUUUCUUUUUAACAAAACACACAUAUACUCUAGAGAUUAGUUGCACAACAAUGUGUAUACAUGUAACACUAUUGGAUUGUACACUUAAAAAUAGUUAAGGUGGUAAGUUUUAUGUGUAUUUUAUCAUAAUUUAAAAAAUUUUAUCACAAUUAAAAUGGUAAAUUUUAUGUAUAUUUUGCCAAACUAAAAAAAGCAAAAU
rnacentral:lncRNA from 10 species